GCGAGAGUGGCGGAAUGGCAGACGCGCUAGACUUAGGAUCUAGUGGGCAACCCCCGUGAGGGUUCGACUCCCUCCUCUCGCACCA
rnacentral:tRNA from 1 species